UCCUACGGGAGGCAGCAGUGAGGAAUAUUGGGCAAUGCCCGCAAGGGUGACCCAGCAACGCCGCGUGGAGGAUGAAGGUCGUAAGAUUGUAAACUCCUGUUAGAGGGGACGAAUAACUGUGAUUCGUAAGGAUCAUAGCUUGACUGUACCCUCAGAGAAAGCCCCGGCUAACUACGUGCCAGCAGCCGCGGUAAUACGUAGGGGGCAAGCGUUGUCCGGAUUUACUGGGUGUAAAGGGCGCGUAGGCGGACUUAUAAGCCAGUGGUGAAAACCUGCAGCUCAACUGCAGAACUGCCAUUGAUACUGUAAGCCUUGAGUGCGGAAGAGAGAGACGGAAUUCCAGGUGUAGUGGUGAAAUACGUAGAUAUCUGGAAGAACAUCAGUUGCGAAGGCGGUCUCUUGGUCCGUUACUGACGCUGAGGCGCGAAAGCGUGGGUAGCAAACAGGAUUAGAUACCCUGGUAGUCCACGCUGUAAACGAUGAAUACUAGGUGUUGGAUUGUAAAAUUCAGUGCCGCAGCAAACGCAUUAAGUAUUCCACCUGGGGAGUACGAUCGCAAGGUUGAAACUCAAAGGAAUUGACGGA
rnacentral:rRNA from 1 species